rnacentral:rRNA from 1 species
UACGUAGGUGGCAAGCGUUAUCCGGAAUUAUUGGGCGUAAAGCGCACGCAGGUGGCUUCUUAAGUCUGACGUGAAAGCUCCUGGUUUAACCGGGAGAGGUCGUUGGCAACUGGGAGGCUUGAGGCAAGGAGAGGGGCGUAGAAUUCCCGGUGUAGUGGUGGAAUGCGUAGAUAUCGGGGGGAAUACCAGAGGCGCAAGCGGCGCCCUGGCCUUGGCCUGACGCUCAGGUGCGAAAGCGUGGGGAGCGAACGGG